rnacentral:rRNA from 1 species
CCUAAUACAUGCAAGUCGAACGGAGAUUAAGUAGCUUGCUAUUUAAUCUUAGUGGCGCACGGGUGAGUAAUAUAUAGCUAACUUGCCCAUUACUAAGGGACAACAGUUGGAAACGACUGCUAAUACCUUAUACUCCGUAUCUAUAUAAGUAGAUACGGGAAAGUUUUUCGGUAAUGGAUAGGGCUAUAUCGUAUCAGCUAGUUGGUAAGGUAAUGGCUUACCAAGGCUAUGACGCGUAACUGGUCUGAGAGGAUGAUCAGUCACACUGGAACUGAGACACGGUCCAGACUCCUACGGGAGGCAGCAGUAGGGAAUAUUGCUCAAUGGGGGAAACCCUGAAGCAGCAACGCCGCGUGGAGGAUGACACUUUUCGGAGCGUAAACUCCUUUUCUUGGGAAAGAAUUAUGACGGUACCCAAGGAAUAAGCACCGGCUAACUCCGUGCCAGCAGCCGCGGUAAUACGGAGGGUGCAAGCGUUACUCGGAAUCACUGGGCGUAAAGGACGCGUAGGCGGAUUAUCAAGUCUCUUGUGAAAUCUAACGGCUUAACCGUUAAACUGCUUGGGAAACUGAUAAUCUAGAGUAAGGGAGAGGCAGAUGGAAUUCUUGGUGUAGGGGUAAAAUCUGUAGAGAUCAAGAAGAAUACCCAUUGCGAAAGCGAUCUGUUGGAACUUAACUGACGCUAAUGCGUGAAAGCGUGGGGAGCAAACAGG